rnacentral:rRNA from 1 species
UACGGAGGGUGCAAGCGUUGUUCGGAAUCACUGGGCGUAAAGCGCGUGUAGGCGGCCUUUUAAGUCCGAUGUGAAAGCCCGGGGCUCACCCCCGGAAGUGCAUUGGAUACUGAAGGGCUGGAGUACCGGAGAGGAGGGUGGAAUUCCUGGUGUAGCGGUGAAAUGCGCAGAUAUCAGGAGGAACACCAAUGGCGAAGGCAGCUCGCUGGGACGUGACUGACGCUGAGACGCGAAAGCGUGGGGAGCAAACAGG